ensembl:snRNA U6 U6 spliceosomal RNA
GUGCUCACUUCAGCAGCACAUAGAUAAACUUGGAAAGAUACAGAGAAAAUACACGGCAGAUGUGCAAGGAUAACAUGCAACUUUGUGAAGUGUUCUAUAUUUUU